AUACUUGGCUGCACCUGCUCAGAUACACAUACCCGGUGCUGUGAUGACAACUGUCGUCAGUGAUUUUGUACCUCACAAAGACUCUUUGAUCAAGAAAACAGCGUAUUUAUCGUUGGCAGCCAAUGCUUACAUCAGAGGCUGUUGACAUGAACGUAGACCCAUCAAGGACUUCCUGGGACAACGAUGCUACUCUUUUCCUAAUGCAGAAAACACGGGGGCCUCUUUUUUAUCCUCCUGAGAAAUCUGACUCUAAUCACACAACUGGGUGGUUGUAAGAAAAAGAAAAGCUUCAAGAUGAAAAGAGAUAUACCUGGUUUUACAUACCUUCUCCAAUAGUGGAUGUUGAAGAGUCCUAUAAAUCCACCACAAAGUGGAAUGGAUCCCGGCAUGGCUCAUGUUCCAGCAUCGGACCUGCACUGCAAUUUUAGUUCUCAAACGCAGCAUCACAUCAGGGACCAUCAGCGGGGCGUUGCAGUUUGGGCUCCGGACAGAAGAGGGGGCACUUCGGAUGGCCAGAAGGAAAAGCUCGGCCAGAUGUGGACCAGCUGCAGCCCCAGAGCGCCUCCUGCUCCAGGGCCCCGUGCUACCGACCGCAGUAUGGAGCGAGCAGGGGGCUUGCUGGAGAUAGGAAUCCCAAGGACGGCGUGCUGGGAGCGAGAUACGCGGUUAAUAUUUCUGCUCCACUCCAAAGGUGGCUGAGACGGUAUAGAUUUAAUGCUCGAUACUUGCUCUGGAGCCUCCAUGCUGUUUAAAUCUGCACUAUGGAAGGUUGUGGCUUAUUCAGUCAAGGUUGUAUCUUGUAAACCACCCGAGGAACAAAUUCCAUGCAAGGUUGCCUGCGUGCAAAUAUGAUUUUUGACACAAACUGCUGGAUUCCCUGACGUUUCUACUUCUACCUCAGGUAAAUUUGUAUCGGCUGCACUGAACAAGCAAAAAUGCUUCCACACUGUAAAACACUCCCAUAACAUUGAUUCAAGAUUGAUCACUUGCACGAGGUAGUUCAGAGAGUAGUUAUAGCUGCGCAAAACCUUUUAUUCAGGGUUAGAAUUUGACCUAGCGUGAUAACCAGGCAAUAAAAUGGGAGUCGGCUGUCAAUUUCAGGAGAAAUAAGGCAUCACCAGAGCUUAAAGAUCUGCUUCAUAACAUUUCUAUCAAAUAAAUCACAUCUCCUGAGUGGAUAUUUCCACAAUUCUUGACAAGGAAGAAAGAAAAUAUUGUCUUUGCCUAGAUCUGGUGAAGUGAAAUAAAGCUGUAAUGAUUGCUAGCCAACCACAUCUACACACAGAAUUAAUGCAAGCACUCAGUGUGCAGAGAUGUUUUAAAAUCUUGAUUUACAGUCUGUGUUUUGUAAAUUAACAGAAUCCUCACAGCCCUCACAUGAUCUUCAUCGACCAAUUCUGUGUUUGAAACACAUGCCAUAUGUUUGAAACUGACCCUAAUGCUUCUGAAGAAAGGAGUGGUUGGUGUUUUCAGGAAGCAGCCUGGAAUCCAGUGCUAGCUGGUGAGUCAUUAAAUAAGGAGAAUAACAUUUACAGGACGUAAUACAAUAUAUCAGUUUAGCAGAACUGAAAUUUAACUUUCUCAAAUGCCACUUCAGAUAAACAGAAUGUAGUCUUUCUCCACUGGAACUGGACCAGGUGCAGAAUAAGCUGCUAUAAUUAUGCCUGCCCUACCAUGAGGACCAUUGCAAGUAUUUUAAUCUUUCUUAUUUCUUACAUUACACUAUGAAAACUUCAUUGAAAAAUACAUUUCAACUGUAAAGCUGUUUGAAGUAUGAAGUCUAAAGUGUAUCUUGAACAAAUGUUGCAGAUCUUCAUUCUGAAUUGGUAAAAACUGUAAGUAUGAGAUGUCAGAAUUUAUACUGUUGUGCUAUUUUAUUGUUACUCAGUGAGGUAGAAACACAUCAGGAUAGGGUCUAGAGGCCAAGUUUAUCCAAAUAUAUGAGGUCAACUCUGAGAAGACUGUUAUGGACUCUGGAAGAACAAUUACAGAAACUGUAAAAGUAUUCUAUCCUUGGAAAAGAAGUACUGGUCUGUAUAGGAGUAAUAGGAAAAAGAUAACACUGUCUUGUGGCUAUAAAUUCAGCUUCAUAAGGAUAAUUUCCUUUGCCUAUCCAUGUACAGCUAACAAUGAAAAGACUUAGAGAAGCGCGAAGUAAUAUUUUCUUUUAUGUGUGACACAGAAAACAAAGCAGAACAUAAAAAUGUGACGCUUGAGUGCUUGUUUUCCUCAUUUUUAUUUUCUCCAAAUACUCUAAAUACUCACGGGUACAGUCUUCUACUAUGGAAACUGAUGAAGAAAUCAGAUAUGUAUUUGCUGCAGUUUUAGAAAAAUAAUAUAAAUCUACUUGUUUAGUUUGUCUUGUUCAACAGAAAUUACAUGGCGUCCUGACAGCAAAAUAGACUAAUAAUCAUAACAAAUCUAAUUCAUCCCUGUUCUAUUUUGAACUAGAGUGAACUUUCUCUGCAAGACAUGGGAACAACUCACAGAUCUAUUAUUCUGGAAGAAUUAUAGGCAGAAUCAAUACACGUUGCUCAUGACACACAUCAGUGGGUUGUCAUAACAGUGAUUAUAGCUUCUCCAUCAGUAGACAGAGUGAAUACUCAGGCUACUCUGAAAGUUUUUAUCACAUGACAAAACAAAGUGAGUUUUCCAGGCCUACCUCACCCUAUCUUCUUAUUUAAGUAAAUGUAGAAAAAGCUUGCAAUGAACAUUAUAGACCUUGCUGCUCACUUGCCAUUUACUAUUGUGGCGGUGUCAAGCUAAUAGAUUUUUCAGUAAGUGGCCAGAAGUAAAAGUAGCCUCUAUUGGGUCUGUCUACUUUGGUCAUGACUUUCUGUUUAUUGUUUUCAGCAGAAAAAGAAGCUCAGAAAACUAAUGUCCAGUAACAUAUGACAAUUCAUAUCUUUACAAUUUCAAUAUUUUUCCUGGGGAAAAGAGGAGGCAUUGUACAUACGCAACAAUCAGCACACUAUCCUCUAGCUAACGAAGGACUGAACACUACAAUAAAGCUUUGAAAGAAAGGUUAGAGGUGGCUAAACUGAAGGGAAAAUCUGGGAAAACAGUCACUUCAAGUUUCUUUUAAAAAUAAAAAGGAGACAUGGUGCAGCAAAACUGAGGGAGAUUUUAAAUCAGGAGGAAAAUGUUGUUCUGUUGUAAGCACUUAGGAUGGAAGUACCAGUCUGGUAGGAUUUGAGUAAACCAUUCAGUGGAAACAGCAAAAAUGAGAAAUGUUAGGUUAGUUUUGCACUACCAAGGAUUGGCAGUGUGCAAGGAGUCUGUGAGAAAACAAAAACCCAUUGUAUGGGAGAAUCAUAGUUUACCUCUCAGUACUGUCUGAAGGAGAAAAGAGCCCUAUAUUUCCAGUGAAUGAUAAAUAAAAAGAUUUUUUUUCACUCUGCUUGUGUCUUACCUGCAGCAACUUGGACAUGUUUUAGCACGUCCACCUGUAACUGUAUGCUUUGUGUUACUCCUUCUGGUGUAGGAUGCACAAAAGGAGUAAGAGGAUGAGCAUCCAGCCAAGCCUACAGAAUCACCUGCAUGAGCUAGAAACAGAGACAUCCUCUACUCUGAUCCUAAAGAAUUUGUUAGGGGGAAUUACUUAGUUCUAUGUCAGCUUGUCAGUUUGUUUCUUACUUGGCUACUUAUUUCCUGAAUAUGAAUUCUAGGAUGUCAGUUACUUCUUUACUGCUGUUCUUCUACACAGUUGGGACUGCACUUGCCUUUCUGGACAGGGGAAUACACGGUACUGCAGUGCUGACUCUGCACACGGAGGAUGUAGACCACCUAGAUAAAGCAGAGAAACAGUGUCCUUUGGUGUGUGUGCACAAGGAGUUUGCUUCAGUACUGCUACUGCCACUGGCAUGGGUAAGAACAUAGUGCUGUCCAUUCAUUCCUACUUAGUGAAUAAACUUCUUACAUUUCUCCUUCUUUCUACUUGGGUAGACAACAUAUAGUCACAUCUAAAAUCUGAUAGAUAAGCAGCACUCAGGUGAUGCUUUCGAUCUGGCUUCCUACUGUAUGUGUCAUUCUUUGGCUUCAAUAGCUUUCAAGCCAAUGGUUAACCAAGGUUGGCAGAGGGUAGAUGAUAGGUGUCUAACCCCUUGGUUUAUGUUGCACUGAAUGAAGAGGAAUUGUCUCAGGCCAAAUAUAUAUAGGUUGCUCUGAAAGUAAUGCCUCCUUUUUAUUUCCAUGGAAACUACAAAGGAUAGAAAGCACCCAGUACCACUUUUUGAUAGAGCAAAUCCUCAGCAAGAAAAAACUUUUUCAUCAUACUCACCAUCAUUAGCUAUGCAUUUCCAUCAGUGAUGAAUGAGAGCCUGCCUUCCAUGCUCAUAAAAAUCAGAAGUGACCCACUGUUGUCACUGUUGAAGCACACCAACCACCACCUCACUGUGCUGACAUCCAGUGUUUGGUCUCCAUAAACAUUCAGCAAAGGCUGAUACAAGCUGCAGUCCCAGCAUGUCCGCAGCCAUGGAGCAGCUCUGAUGGCAGAGACCAGGCAGAGUCUGGUGAUCUCCAGACAUAUCUGUAGGGAUGAAGCCUUCAAGCUGGCAUGCCAAAUCAGCAAGGCAAGGAUGAGAUCAGCAAAGCAUACAACCAGGCACUCGCAUAUCUGCGAGGCGACUCGGGCAAGGACUGAUAGCAAGGGCCUGGGCCUGGGGUAAGAGGCCCCAGAGAGCAGUCUGUGGCUCUGUCACACUUUGCUCUUCAAAGUGGCCUGAUCCCACGUUACACAACUCCACCAUAUCAAAGUGACCUUUAGGAGCAGCAGGCAGAGCAAAGGGAAGGAGGCUGGAGCCUGUCUGUGCACACAAGGCCCGAUACCAUGCAGUGAAGUACCUGUAGGAUGUACAGCACUUCUGGGGUUUUGUUUUAUACAUUCGGACUAGGGCUUUUAAAUCUGUUGCUUCUGAGGAAAAAAAAAAUAAAAAAAAAAUUGCAAUGAAUUAGGCUAAUUCUCAUUUAUUCAAAACCCAGUGAUCCAGCUGUGGCUUCUCAUAUGCAGAUUGAUUUGGCUCCUAUCCUAGUAAGACUUUUACCGCAUUUAGCAAUAACCUUCCAUACCUAGCUUUGUCUGCAGCUCCUCAUGUGGCGACCAGUUGUUUAUAAGACAAAGACCAUCUGCUUAUCAAAAGAACUAGAGAGAUUACAGGAAGAAAAACAACUACCAAGGCCACAGAAUUAUAAGGUGGAUGGGUUGCUUGUGACCACCCUCCUUCACAGACAGCAGGCUUUUGUGGGGCAUCUCCAAACAGUCGUCUGCAGUCAGAGUGCUGGCUGAGUGAUGCACGGUGCAGGCCCUUAGGUAACUGAGUGCCCUUGUGUGGAGAAGUUCUGAGUCAUAUAUUCAUGGAAGUGUUCAUAAUCUAACAUUAGUGGGAAGGAAGGUCAUUUUGUGGAAAAUUGAGUUUUAACACAUGUAGGAUUCAGGCAGUUUAAUUACGCACAGAAGUGGUUUGCUGCCUAAAUAUUUCUUUCCUGAGCUUUGUGCUUUGAUCCUGCAGCACUCUGUGGAAGAUCCUGGCAACAGGGGAGAGCUCAUUGCAUUGAGUCCUCAAAAAGGGACUGCUGCUGCUCAAGUGAGCAGUAGAGAACAUGCAGGGAGGCCUCACAGGAUUCAAAUUGCUCUGGAAAAGAAUCUGAUAUUUGAAAGAUAUUACCAAAUUCCCCUUUUUUUUCUCACCUCUGAGGUCCUAGAAUAAUUGAAAUAUCUACAUACAUAUCUAUAGAUAUACCUGCAGCUAUACUAUAUAAUACUAUAUAAUAGCUAGAUAUAAUACUAUAUAAUAGCUAUAUUGGUAGCUGUGAAGCAUAGCGCUUGUUUUUUCUUCUUCUUACUCUGAAUACAUACAAGCUGCUGGAAAAUAUUAAGAACAGCUAUAUUAAAGUCAAUAUGACUCUUCAGCUUCAUUGCUAUUGUGACUUACAUUGUCUGUCAGUAAAACCGAGCAGUGACAUUGAUUGUGAAGUGAGGUUUAUGAGAACGCGUGUCUGUGCCUUGUGUUACACUCACGGGUUCUUAUUCUCCUCUUUCCCCUCCCAUGUAGAAACAAAAACAUGGUUAGCAUAAUGGCAGAGGGGCUUUUCAGAGGAAAACAAUGUGUCUGUUUUUGAGUAGCUCUACAUCAGAAUUUCUUUCUAAUUGUGGAGGAAUUCUUCACUUAUUUAAUGUCACAUAUAGCUAAUAUUGUUUCAUAAAAGGCUAAUAAAACCCAUGUGGUUAAGUAAUUGGUUUUCAGGAUUGCGUCUGUGAUGGGUGUUUGCCUUUGUUCCAUCACAAACUGUCAUACUGUGCCUGUUACUCUGCUGUGUUACUGUGAGGAGGAGCUCAGUACAGUUCAACCAGAUGCAGUUGCACAGAAUACAUCAUUUCCCCAGAGUAAUUAAUUCGGCCACUACAGUGUUUAUCUCGCUUUAGUCUGAUUUUUUCCAGCUUCGGUUUCCAUUAGUGUGCUGUCUUCUUCUGCCAGGUGACAGACAAGGGAGGACAACACCAUUUUUUUCCGUGGGAUUGGAGGGGAGCUGCCACAGGCUGCAUUCUGGUUCAUUCCUGGGCAAGUGCCUGACCAUGAGCACUGCAUGCACAUUGCUUUCCUCCCUGUUCCUCUCUUGGAUCAAAGCAACACCUUCCCUGGAAGACAAAACUGUCUGCACCUGGAAGAUGUACCUCACUUACUGUCCCAGACAUGGGUGUAAGUGAGGCUGCAUUCAAUUUGGCUCUCCUGGCUCUCCUCUAUCCCCCAUUGCUAUCCCAGUAUCACCUCAUCUCCUGCGUAUACUCAUGUGGGCAGUGCUCACCCGCAGCAUCGUGUUUCAGAAACACUGUCCUCAUGGGUUUUUGGCACUUGGAAUGGAAAAGUCAGGGGGAAAAAAAAAGGGUGAUUCUUUAGGCUUUCAAGGGCAACAGAGGAGACUGGAAACAAGUGCUGUGUGUCUGGGCACAGCCACGCUUUGCAGCCCGGCCUGGGGGCUGCCUGGGGAGCAUGCAUUUGUGGAGCAGACACUGCCUUUGAAUCAAAUUCCUCUCUGUGACAACCAGACUCUUCCACUGAUGGGAAUGUUUCUUUUACAAAUGCAUUUAGAGACUGACACAGCCACAACAUAAACAGUGGAGGAGAGGGAUUUUCACAGCUAUGCCGCUGCUGGGAGCUGCAAUGUGCGCAUGUGGGACUCACAGCAAGGAGGGCUGCACUGCCAAGGAUGGAUUCUGCCCCAUCCUUCCCUGUGCCUGUCUUCACCUGAUAUUGUUCAG